AGCGAACGCUGGCGGCAGGCUUAACACAUGCAAGUCGAGCGGGCACCUUCGGGUGUCAGCGGCGGACGGGUGAGUAACGCGUGGGAACGUGCCUUCUGGUUCGGAAUAACCCUGGGAAACUAGGGCUAAUACCGGAUACGCCCUUUUGGGGAAAGGUUUACUGCCGGAAGAUCGGCCCGCGUCUGAUUAGCUAGUUGGUGGGGUAACGGCCUACCAAGGCGACGAUCAGUAGCUGGCCUGAGAGGAUGAUCAGCCACACUGGGACUGAGACACGGCCCAGACUCCUACGGGAGGCAGCAGUGGGGAAUAUUGGACAAUGGGCGCAAGCCUGAUCCAGCCAUGCCGCGUGAGUGAUGAAGGCCUUAGGGUUGUAAAGCUCUUUUAUCCGGGACGAUAAUGACGGUACCGGAGGAAUAAGCCCCGGCUAACUUCGUGCCAGCAGCCGCGGUAA
rnacentral:rRNA from 1 species